rnacentral:lncRNA from 12 species
GUGAAAUGCAGAUAGGUUCAGCCCACAGUAGCUCUAUUAGAGGUCUGAAUGGGGUAUGGCCAGGGAGAAGUGCAGAACAGAAGCAGGAGCUCUGGCACACGCUGACACCUCGCACUGCCCAGUAAUGGCAUUUCUCUUCCUCCCAUAUCCGCAGCGCCAUCGCCAGCUGGGGAGGAGAAACAAACUUGGCUGUACUGGGGGGAGAGACAGGAUGCAGCCAGACAAGUUGGAUCACAUCCGAGAAUCCCUGGAGGAAAUCAUCCACGUGCACUGCCCACACCCACCUCUGGCUCCCAGGCACCAUCACGGGCUCUGCCCUUUGGUGACUGCAGAAGAAUCUUGCUGCUCUCAAUGUAGGCUGCCUGGACUUGGAGUUGGUUGUUGUGUUGGACAUUGUGCUCAUCCUCACCGAAUCAGGGAGACUUUCUCCUCUAAGGUGAGUUCCCUGUGGCCGAGCCCCGCUGCAGGAGAUGCCCUGAGUUCAGGAGCAGCUCCAGAAGGAUGCCCUGGGUUAGGAGCAGUUCAGAAGGAUGCCCUGGGUUAGGACCCCCCCCCCCCCCCCCCCCCCCCCCCCCCCCCCCCCCCCCCCCCCCCCCCCCCCCCC